ensembl:lncRNA
GACCCAAAAUCCCAUUACGUGGCUCAAAAUCCCAUUACGUAGACCCAAAAUCCCAUUAUGUGGCUCGAAAUCCCAUUACGUGUCUCGAAAUCCCAAUAACGUACCCCAAAUCCCAUUACGUAGACCCGAAAUCCCAUUAACGUGGCUCGAAAUCCCAUUACGUAGACCCAAAAUCCCAUUACGUGGCCAUGGGAAGCGACCACUGCCCCAUCACGCUCUACCUGGCCCUAUAGGGGCCUAGAGGGGGCGAUCCCAGCCAAAAUCCCAUUAGCGGGACUCGAAAUCCCAUUACGUAGACCCAAAAUCCCAUUACGUGGCUCGAAAUCCCAUUACUGACCCCAAAACCCCAAUAAAGUGCCCCAAAACCCCAUUCUGUGGCUCGAAAUCCCAUUAAUGGACCCCAAAUCCCAAUAAAGUGCCCCAAAACCCCAUUAUGUGACUCAAAACCCCAUUAAAGUGACCCCAAAACCCCAAUAAAGUGCCCCAAAACCCCAUUCUGUGGCUCAAAACCCCAUUAAAUGACCCCAAAUCCCAUUGAAGUGACCCCAAAUCCCAUUAAUGGACCCCAAAUCCCAAUUAA